GCAGCCGCCCGAGGCCCUGCUGGGCGGGUCGGGGUGAAAAGGAGUCUGGAGUCCGCAGAAGCCUCCUCCUUUCCUGGCUUCACCUGCUCCUCCUGGUGUCUCUCCGUGGAGUCGGCGGGGAGGAGCCGCGGAAGCCGGGGCAGCCGUGACUGCACCAGGAAGAACAGCUCAGGCGUGGGGACGUGGGCUGUGAGCCCAGCCGAGAUCGCUACCAGCACAGAGGUCCAAUCCACCCCGCGUCAGGGCCUGGACCAUGGGCCUGAGGUGUGGGUGGGGGAGAUGCCAAGACCAGAAGGAGGGUGUCAACAGAGCAUCAGGAGGCACUGACCCCAGAGCCCCUCCACGUCCCCGGGAACGGCCGGCCCCCCGUCGCCGCCGAGGGCCCUCGACCAGGAUGGACAGCCAGGGGAAGGCUGCUUGUCUCCACGCCUCUCCGACGGCUCUUCUUCCGGCCCCUCCAGCCCAGGUGGAAUCCUUGAAGCUGGAGUCAGGACUGCCGGGCUUGCGGAGACGUGGGCUCCCCAGGAAGUGCUGAGCCCAUGAUCAGAGCUGCACCCCCACAAGAAGUCACCAUGUGGAUCCCCAGAGGGGAUACUCCGGAAGUGCUUCCAUUCGGCCACCAGCAGCUGUGAUGUCCCCUGACCGUGCAUCCUGGGUCCCAGGGGAUGGUGGGUAGGGGAGCCAGGCGAGGAAGUGAGUCACAGCCCUGUGGGGUGAGCUCCCCGAGGGGAAGGGAUUGCGUAGAGUACUUGGGGGAAUUUGUGAGCCUUCAAGCUGGCCUCUGCUGCGACAGGGGCCAGCAGCCUCGUCCGCUCUGUAGUCCACUCCGGCUGCUCCCUGUAGCCAGGGGUGCGGCAUGGCAGGAACAGGCCACAGGGCAAGGGAGGAGUGUGGUGGGCUCAGAAGGCUCUGGGGAGAGGGUGCCUUGCUCCUGGUGCUGAAAGGACAGCGCCCGGCUUGGGCAGAGGCCGCGCCAAGUCCUGGCGGAAGCUUUUCCGCAAACUGGAGUGGGGCGUCAUGUGCAUCUGAAUUUUUCCACUCCUCUUCUCUGGAGCCUGUCAGUGCCGUCUUGGCAAAGAUGGUUUGAGCCUGAAAGCUUUUCCCAUCUAUUUUUAAAUAAAUGGAAUUCCUGUCACUUGCAUGAAAUUCACCCCAA
rnacentral:lncRNA from 1 species